rnacentral:lncRNA from 10 species
UGAGAGCCAGCCAAUUUUCCCCCUGGCUUUUAGGACCCCCAUCGGAGGGGGGGAGCCACCCCCCAUGAGGCGGGGACUAAGAGCCAGCCCCUCUUCCCGCCCCUUGCUCUUCCGACCCCCAUCGCAUUGGCGGGAGGCAUCCCCCAGGAGGAGGGGACUGAGAGCCAGCCCCUCUUCCCCCCCUGGCUCUUAGGACCCCCAUCACAGCGGGGGGAGGCACCCCCCGGGAGGCGGGGACUGAGAACCAGCCCCUAUUCCCCCCCUGGCUUUGGGACCCUCAUCGCAGGUAGGGGAGGCACCCUCAGCGAGGCAGGAACUGAGAGCCAGCCUCUCUUCCCCCCCUGGCUCUUGGGACCCCCAUCGAAGGGGGUGGAGGCACCCCCGGUGAGGCGGGGAAUGAGAGCCAGUGCCUCUUCCCCCCCUGGCUUAGGACCCCCAUCGCGGAUUCUAAGAUCCUUAGGACCCACCUGGAGGACUGUGGGUAUUAGGUGUCUAAGAAGAAAGCUCAGAUCUGCGGAAGGCAAGUACCUUACUUGGGAUUUACUAUCCCACAGGGGUCUGAACGCAGCCCAGGAUCAGAAAGAAAGCAGGUCAUUUGCAAUCUAUCGGAGCCUAAGGGAAGAAGGCAGGAUCGUGGGUACAACAUCCCUGGGGGUUUCCACUUUCUGCCAUACAUGAAGUCAUAUCACCCCCUCCGCCUUGGUAUAUUAUGAAGGAGCAUCUCACACAGGGGUGUAUACUUACUGCGAUAUUUGGAGUAAUAUCAACCUCUCGGCCUCUGAAUAUUGGAAAGAAUAUUGCAGGGUGGGUGUACACCUCGUUCUCUAUUAUGGGGAGCCGUAUCUGUCUAUUAUGGGGAGUAAUAUCAUCCUCUCCCUUUCAGGAUAUUAAUAACAAUUUGACAGGCUGGGUGAACACUGCCUGUGAUGCUGGAAUUAUUAUCAUCCUCUC